GAUGAACGCUAGCGACAGGCCUAACACAUGCAAGUCGAGGGGUAACAGAUAUAAAGCUUGCUUUAUAUGCUGACGACCGGCGCACGGGUGAGUAACACGUAUGCAACCUACCUUUUACAGGAGAAUAACCCAGAGAAAUUUGGACUAAUACUCCAUAAUAUUUUUGUAUCGCAUGAUAUAGAAAUUAAAGUUCCGGCGGUAAAAGAUGGGCAUGCGUCCUAUUAGUUGGUUGGUAAGGUAACGGCUUACCAAGGCUAUGAUAGGUAGGGGUUCUGAGAGGAUAAUCCCCCACAUUGGUACUGAGACACGGACCAAACUCCUACGGGAGGCAGCAGUGAGGAAUAUUGGUCAAUGGCCGCAAGGCUGAACCAGCCAUGUCGCGUGAAGGAUGACUGCCCUAUGGGUUGUAAACUUCUUUUGUAUGGGAAGAAAGGUAUCUACGUGUAGAUAUUUGCCGGUACAUACGAAUAAGGAUCGGCUAACUCCGUGCCAGCAGCCGCGGUAAU
rnacentral:rRNA from 1 species